ACGAACGCUGGCGGCAUGCCUAACACAUGCAAGUCGAACGAGACCUUCGGGUCUAGUGGCGCACGGGUGCGUAACGCGUGGGAACCUGCCUUUAGGUUCGGAAUAACUCAGAGAAAUUUGAGCUAAUACCGGAUGAUGUCUUCGGACCAAAGAUUUAUCGCCUUUAGAUGGGCCCGCGUUGGAUUAGCUAGUUGGUGGGGUAAAGGCCUACCAAGGCGACGAUCCAUAGCUGGUCUGAGAGGAUGAUCAGCCACACUGGGACUGAGACACGGCCCAGGCUCCUACGGGAGGCAGCAGUGGGGAAUAUUGGACAAUGGGCGAAAGCCUGAUCCAGCAAUGCCGCGUGAGUGAUGAAGGCCUUAGGGUUGUAAAGCUCUUUUACCCGAGAUGAUAAUGACAGUAUCGGGAGAAUAAGCUCCGGCUAACUCCGUG
rnacentral:rRNA from 1 species